GGGGACCUACCGACGGCGUGGGACAGGCCUGGGUGUCUCCGGGGCUGCCCAACAGAAGUCUUCCCCACAGGGCACAACUAUUAUGAGGUUCGCCUCCUCCCCCCGGUUAAACAUUAAGCACUAAGAUUUCCCCAAGCAGCUUGACAGAACAUCGUUUUCCUUGAGCAUCUUCCCUGGUAGGCCUGUCAGAAACGGCUGUAACUAACAUAGGCGGCGACGAAACCUAGGAAAACCUAAAGGAGGGGGGCCGGGUGGAGUCGGGGGGGAAUCAAGCCUCUUACUUUGAGGGAAAAAAAAAUCAGGACAAAGUACAAAGUUGUCCACUAUGCAAACCGUGCACCGGUCGAGUUAAGUGUAUAACGCUGGACAACAAACCAUUUUUGAACACUUGGGAAAAUCUUGACUACCUUGCACAACGGCAUGUGGCAGAAGUGAUGUCCAGGGUCUCCCGAGGCUGGGUCGGAGGCAUCCUUACAGCUCCCAUCUGGGUCUACCGGAAUCGUCUUGGAGGUUUGCGCCGCCAUGGAAGAAGGCUGACUACGCAGGCUGCCGUGUCGUGAGGAAGCCCGAGGCUUUGUGGAGAGAAAUGCAUGGAAACGGUUUCAGUCCCCAGCCGAGACCCUAGGCAUCAGGGAGCAGAACAUCAAAACUGCGGACUUGGGAUACAAAUGAAUGAUCACUGUUGUUGCAAAGCCCUUACGUUUUGAGGGUGGUCUUUUCGUGAAGCAAUAGAGAAACGGAACGGGGAGACGGACAGUGAGCAGACAAGCAAUAAUACGAAGCAGAAGGGGGAAAAACGUGGACCAAGGGAUAGAGAAGAGGGCAUGGAGAGAAAAGGCUGGGGUUGAGGGCUUAACAUAUUAGACAAGGGGGUCACGGAAAGCCUCCCUGCUUCUCUCUGUUUGCUCCAAACUCUUGCUUCUCUUUGCUUGCUCAGCAUCAGCGCAUAGCGCAUAGAACCCCCAAAGGCCACCCCACAAUGGCAGCCUCAGCCCCAGAAUUUACGUGUCCUGUUACAAGUCCUAGGGCCACAACAAACUCUCUGGACUCAUUUGAUUUUCUUCUAAUGUUUUAUACACACACACACA
rnacentral:lncRNA from 1 species